rnacentral:rRNA from 1 species
GACGAACGCUGGCGGCGUGCCUAAUACAUGCAAGUCGAGCGGAAUGAAGAAGAAGCUUGCCUCUUCUGAUUUUAGCGGCGGACGGGUGAGUAACACGUGGGCAACCUACCUUGUAGAUUGGGAUAACUCCGGGAAACCGGGGCUAAUACCGAAUAAUCCAUUUUGCUUCAUGGCGAGAUGUUGAAAGACGGUUUCGGCUGUCACUACAAGAUGGGCCCGCGGCGCAUUAGCUAGUUGGUAGGGUAAUGGCCUACCAAGGCGACGAUGCGUAGCCGACCUGAGAGGGUGAUCGGCCACACUGGGACUGAGACACGGCCCAGACUCCUACGGGAGGCAGCAGUAGGGAAUCUUCCACAAUGGACGAAAGUCUGAUGGAGCAACGCCGCGUGAGUGAAGAAGGUUUUCGGAUCGUAAAACUCUGUUGUAAGGGAAGAACACGUACGAGAGUAACUGCUCGUACCUUGACGGUACCUUAUUAGAAAGCCACGGCUAACUACGUG